AUUGAACGCUGGCGGCAGGCCUAACACAUGCAAGUCGAGCGAGCGGAGGACGGGUGAGUAAUGUCUGGGCAUCUGCCUGAUGGAGGGGGAUAACUACUGGAAACUGUAGCUAAUACCGCAUACCAUCAGAUGUGCCCAGGUGGGAUUAGCUAGUAGGUGGGGUAAUGGCUGACCUAGGCGACGAUCCCUAGCUGGUCUGAGAGGAUGACCAGCCACACUGGAACUGAGACACGGGCCAGACUCCUACGGGAGGCAGCAGUGGGGAAUAUUGCACAAUGGGCGAAAGCCUGAUGCAGCCAUGCCGCGUGUGUGAAGAAGGCCUUCGGAUUGUAAAGCACUUUAAGUGGGGAGGCGUUACCAACAGAAGAAGCACCGGCUAACUCCGUGCCAGCCGCCGCGGUAAUAC
rnacentral:rRNA from 1 species